rnacentral:rRNA from 1 species
GCAAACUGAAGAUGGCGACCGGCGCACGGGUGAGUAACACGUAUCCAACCUGCCGAUAACUCGGGGAUAGCCUUUCGAAAGAAAGAUUAAUACCCGAUGGCAUAAUAGAACCGCAUGGUUUGAUUAUUAAAGAAUUUCGGUUAUCGAUGGGGAUGCGUUCCAUUAGGCAGUUGGUGGGGUAACGGCCCACCAAACCUUCGAUGGAUAGGGGUUCUGAGAGGAAGGUCCCCCACAUUGGAACUGAGACACGGUCCAAACUCCUACGGGAGGCAGCAUG